rnacentral:rRNA from 1 species
AAACCAACAGGGAUUGCCCUAGUAACGGCGAGUGAAGCGGCAACAGCUCAAAUUUGAAAUCUGGCCUCGGCCCGAGUUGUAAUUUGUAGAGGAUGCUUUUGGCGAGGUGCCUUCUGAGUUCCCUGGAACGGGACGCCAGAGAGGGUGAGAGCCCCGUAUAGUCGGACACCUAGCCUCUGUAAAGCUCCUUCGACGAGUCGAGUAGUUUGGGAAUGCUGCUCAAAAUGGGAGGUAUAUCUCUUCUAAAGCUAAAUAUAGGCCAGAGACCGAUAGCGCACAAGUAGAGUGAUCGAAAGAUGAAAAGCACUUUGAAAAGAGGGUUAAAUAGCACGUGAAAUUGUUGAAAGGGAAGCGCUUGUGACCAGACUUGCGCCGGGCUGAUCAUCCAGGGUUCUCCCUGGUGCACUCGACCCGGCUCAGGCCAGCGUCGGUUCUCGCGGGGGGACAAAAGCGGCGGGAACGUGGCUCCCACGGGAGUGUUAUAGCCCGCCGCCCAAUGCCCUCGCGGGGACCGAGGUUCGCGCUCUGCAAGGACGCUGGCAUAAUGGUCAUCAGCGAC